ACCCGCGGCGGCGCAGCCGCUCCCGGAAACAGCCCCGCUCCGGAGAGGCGGGGGGAGGGAGGCGGAGGAACAGCCGGGGCUCGCCUUCCUAUUGGUGGAGGCGCGCGGCGGGCGGCGGCGGCGAUUGGCUGGCGGGGAGUGUCAGUCGGGGGGGGAGGCCCGCUCCGUUGCCGGGCAACCGGGCCGGGCUGCUCCGCCUACCGCCGCCACCGCCGCUGCUGCUGCUGCUGCUCGGGCCGAGCUCGCCCCGGCCGGCGGGGGCUGGUCCUGCUCCUCUGCUGCACGCUGUGCUGCACGCUCUGCACACCGAGGAGGAAGAGGAGGAGGAGGAGGAGGGAUGCUGAGGUCGGGGAUGGGGACGGCGACCCCGGGAGCGGCAGCAUCAGCCCCCGGAGUCCCGCUGCAUCGACCCCGCUGCCCGCCCAACUGACAAACUCCACAAACUGAUCACCCUAGCAGAGGGAUUGUCUGAAGACAGGGGAGAAGAUUGGGAGAAGAGAAAUUUUCAUUUAAGGUAAUUAUUUUUAUUCUAAUUUAUGUGUGUCAUUUUUUCCAAUUUAAUGGAUAAAGGAAUACGACUUCUAGCUAAGGCUCAUUGGACAAUGGAGAGAGGACCAGAUUUGGUUACUAAUUUUUCUUAAUUAUGCUUUAUACAUUCAAAGUGAAGCUAGUUUCUAAUAUGUUUUAAAAUAUAUUAAAAUGCUUUUUUCCUCAUGCGUAUAUAUGGA
rnacentral:lncRNA from 1 species